CCCGGGUUAUGUGUGUCUAAAUGAUACACUCUUGUGCUUACACCUAAUUGGCUAUACCCGACAUCGCUUCCCCUUACACCCCUUCCCCUGUGGUUUAUAUGGACACACCCUGAGGUUAUGUGUCUAAAUGGAUACACUCUUGUGCUUACACCUAGUUGGCUACACCCGACAUCGCUUCCCCUUACACCCCUUCCCCUGUGGUUUACAUGGACACACCCUGAGGUUAUGUGUCUAAAUGGAUACACUCUAAGCUUAUAUGUAUCUAAAUGGGUACGCCUGACACCGCUUACACCUCCCCCCCCCCUUACACCCGGCCUUAUACCCACGCUUGCAAACUCAUCUCUGUGUCUUAAAUGGAUGCACUCUUACCCCUUAAAAUUAUCCUCCCUUUACCCCUUUGAUAAAUAAAUACAGAUAAGGGAUGGUAUUUAAACCCCAUUAAACAUACACCCAUUUAAAAACGCUUCCAUUAAUAUGUAAGUUAAUGGAGAAGGGUGGAAUUUAAACACUCAACGCAAGUGUAAAUAUCCACCUAUGUAUACCUUGACGCACCUUUAGAAAUGCAUAUAUAUUCCUCCCUUGAUCCUCUUAAUAAAUACAGAUAAGGGAUUGUAUGUAAACCCUCUAGAAGAUGUCCUUUUAAAACCGCUUCCAUUAAUACGUAAAGGUUAACUGAGACGCUUUAAUUUCAACUCCAUAUCCACGUGUUAAUAAAUGAUAAGGGAUUGUAUGUAAACUCUCUAGAAGAUGUCCUUUUAAAACCGCUUCCAUUAAUACGUAAAGGUUAAAAUGGAGACGCUUCUAUUUAAACCCCAAACGCAAUUGUAAAUAUCCCUCUUUGUAAACGCUUAUCCCUUAAAAUAGCCCUCCCUUUUAUCCCCUUAAUAAAUGAUAAGGGAUUGUAUGUAAACUCUCUAGAAGAUGUCCUUUUAAACCGCUCCCAUUAAUACGUAGAGGUUAAUUAAUGGAGACGCUUGAAUUUAAACACCAAACGCAAUUGUAAAUAUCCCUCUUUGUAAACCAUUAUCCCUUAAAAUAUCCCUCCCUUUAUCCCCUUAGUAAAUGAUAAGGGAUUGUAUGUAAACUCUCCAGAAGAUGUCCUUUUAAACUCCUUCCAUUAAUACGUAAAGGUUAAUUAAUGGAGACGUUUGAAUUUAAACACCAUAUCGCACAUGUAAAUAUCCACCUUUGUUAACCUGUGUAAUGUACCUUGAAGCACCUGUUAAUGAGUGUUACCUGUGAAGUCUUAACCUGCAAGUACUUGACGUUACCUGAAGAAUUUUAAAACGUUCAUCACCUGCUUGGCUAUCUUCGUGUUCUCUCUAUAAACGUUAAAACAAAUGACGUUUUUGGGGGGGAAUGAAUUUUUUUUAAUUAUAUGAAAAAAAGGUCGGUUAGCAAUUUGAAUAUGCCCCUUUAAACCGCUUCCAUUAAUACGUAAAGGUUAAUGAAUGGAGACGCUUCAAUGUAAACUCCAUAUCCACCUGUUAAUUAAAUGUUACCUGUGGAGUCUUAACCUGCAAGUACUUUAUGUUACCUGAAGAAUUUUAAGCCCAUCACCUGCUUGGCUGUUUUGGGUUUUCUCUCUAUGCGUUACAGAGAAGAGAAUGCCCGAGAAAAGAUUACGGAGAAAGAGAAGAAGAGAAAAAGAGAGAAGGUUGGGAUAGGAGAGAAAAAGAACUGGGAGAAGAGAUGAGAAGAGAUUACGAAGAAAGAAGAGGAAAAGAGAGAAGGUUGGGAUAGGAGAGAAAGAGCUGGGAGAAGAGAUGAGAAAAGAAGAGACUGAAGGGGAAAGUAGAGGCUAGGUUAGCAGAAAGGAGAAGAGAAAAGAGAGCAUAGGAGAGACUUAGAGAAGAGAGAAGAGAAGAGGAGAAAAGAGAAGAGGAAAGGAUAGGAAUGGAAAGCCUGGAAGAGGAGAAAAGACGAAAGAGAAAAGAUAUGAUAAAAGAGAAGAGGAGGAGAGGAGGAGAAGAGAGGAAGAAAGGUAGAAGAGAUGAGGAAAUUAGAAAAGAGAAAAGAGGAAAAGAAAAAGAGGAUAGGACAAGAGAGGAGAGAGGAGAAAAAAGGAAGGGAAAAGAAGACUGAAGAAGAGAAAGAAAAGAGG